rnacentral:rRNA from 1 species
UACGGGGGGAGCAAGCGUUGUUCGGAUUUACUGGGCGUAAAGGGCGCGUAGGCGGUCAGCACAAGUCAGUUGUGGAAUCUCCGGGCUUAACUCGGAAAGGUCAACUGAUACUGUGCGACUAGAGUGCGGAAGGGGCAACUGGAAUUCUCGGUGUAGCGGUGAAAUGCGUAGAUAUCGAGAGGAACACCUGCGGCGAAGGCGGGUUGCUGGGCCGACAUUGACGCUGAUGCGCGAAAGCCAGGGGAGCGAACGGG